AGGGUUUGAUCCUGGCUCAGGACGAACGCUGGCGGCGUGCCUAAUACAUGCAAGUCGAACGCAUCCCGUUGAUUUGAAGUGCUUGCACUGAUAAUCAACAUCGGAUGAGUGGCGAACUGGUGAGUAACACGUGGGUAACUUGCCCAGAAGCAGGGGAUAACAUUUGGAAACAGGUGCUAAUACCGUAUAACAACAAGAACCGCAUGGUUCUUGUUUGAAAGGUGGUUUCGGCUAUCACUUCUGGAUAGACCCGCGGUGCAUUAGCUAGUUGGUAGAGUAAUGGUUUACCAAGGCAAUGAUGCAUAGCCGACCUGAGAGGGUAAUCGGCCACAUUGGGACUGAGACACGGCCCAA
rnacentral:rRNA from 1 species